CCAUGCAGGCCCCCCCAAGCUUUCUCCGCGAAAAUACGCCUAGCGGAAAGUUUCUCCUCUCGUUUGAGCAAUUCUUGUCCCAUGUUUCUCUCUCUAAAUAUGAACCUGGACUUGCAGAUUAUCCAACAUUUUCCCCGAUUCGUUUCCAACUGGUUAUCUUUCAUCUCUCUCAUCCAUCAUACCAAUUCUGCCUUUUCUGCAUUCUCUCUCUAAAUUUCGACAACCUCUAUUGAGAGACGAUCGAACCCUAAUUCGUCCAUGUUUCUCUCUCUAAAUUUUGACAAUCUCCACUGAGAGGCCGUGAAACCCCAUUACCCCAAUGGAUACUUAACCAGUUGUAUUUUCCCUUGGUAAUCCUAUUGUUCAUGCUGAAGAAAAUCAAGAUCCUGUCUCUUUCUGCGGCUCUAAUGUCCAAAUUCCAGAACCAUGGUGUGGUCCUUCAACCUGGUCCUUAAAUGGUCCGUACUCAAAUUUGAUCAGAGAUUUGCAGUUUCUGAGCUCCUCUUUGAAGAGGAUUCCUGAGAAAUUUAAAGUAAUUUAGGAAAGGCGUCCUUUCAAUUUGCGGUCAAUUAAUCCUAACAAUCAAAGCUCCGAGUGCAGAAAUGCUCAUCCAAAGGGGAUUUUGCAGGGCUGAUUUGAUGAUGGGAAGUGUUUGGGAACUCGGGCCAGGUACUCGGUCCUCCCCCAACGUGCGUCACUCGGACAUGUCCGCCCCAGUCCUAUACAUGGCCAAAAACCCUAGAAAAUUUUAAAAAAAUUCAAAUAAGCUUAAAAAGAAUUGAGAAAAGGAUUUAGAAAAAUUUAAUUUAUUGUAAGGGACAUUUAAAACAAUUCUAAAAAAAAUAAAAAUAUGGAUUAUGUCAAAAGACAUCAAUCUUUGCCAAAAACAUGCAAAUCGUAUAAUUUUUUUUGCAAAACAGUCGUAUAUUUUUUACCAGUUUUUGAAAAAUUUUGAGAUUUUUUUUUAUGUACCCCAAGAUGUACAUACAACUUGGGCAACUUGGACCCAUAUGCCAAGUAACUGGGCUGAGUUUGAGUGGACUCGGCAAAGUCUCGUAACAGUGAUGAUGGGUCAUGGUGAAUUCAAGAGUGUCCAAUCAUAAAAUUCAAUCUGUAUGAUUCCUUAAUAAAGUGAAAAAUAUGGCUUCUGAUUACGCCAUGAAUAGUCUGAAUCACACUUUCUAAUUGUAAGCUGGGUAUUUUUUUUUUUCUAUUUUUUUUUCAUGGGUUCAAUGUUUUCAAACUUGGCUCGAGCCUUGGACUUGGCCCUAGCUGGAGCUGAAUAACUUGGUUGAGUUCGAGAUCAAAAUUACCUGUAUAAUUUUUGUAAACUGAUUCCACAAUUUUAUAUAAUGUGAAUUGUCUUUUAAUUA